GGUGAACGCUGGCGGCGUGCUUAAGACAUGCAAGUCGAACGGCAGUCUUCGGACUGUAGUGGCGCACGGGUGAGUAACGCGUAACUUACCUACCCCAAAGUCGCGGAUAACGAUUCGAAAGAAUCGCUAAUACGUGAUGUGCUGUCAGCUUGUGUUCUGCCAGUAAAGAUUGAUUGCGUUGGGAUGGGGUUGCGUUCCAUCCGCGAGUUGGUGGGGUAAAGGCCCACCAAGGCGACGACGGAUAGCCGGCCUGAGAGGGUGGCCGGCCACAGGGGCACUGAGACACGGGUCCCACUCCUACGGGAGGCAGCAGUUAGGAAUCUUCCACAAUGGGCGAAAGCCUGAUGGAGCGACGCCGCGUGAGGGAUGAAGGUCUUCGGAUCGUAAACCUCUGAAUCAGGGACGAAAGACACUUCGGUGGGAUGACGGUACCUGAGUAAUAGCACCGGCUAACUCCGUGCCAGCCGCCGCAGUAAUAC
rnacentral:rRNA from 1 species